CAUUAGCGAUUAUUAUGUCUUCAAAAUUUCACUCAAUAUGCAUCAUUAAUGUCAGGGCUGUGAUGGUGGUGGGGGCACUGACUGGGGCCUAUGGUAGCAAGUCAUCUCAUGCACACACACACACACAGUCUGUCUCACACACACUUGCAUACUCACACACGUAUGCAUACACACGCUCAUACAAUCAUACCAGAUUUCUUUGCAGUUCUUGUCUCACUAGGGGUGUGCAUCCCUAUCUGUGUAUUUUUAAAUCAUCUGAAAUGAUUCUUCUCUGAUUGGGGAAACCAGGAGGUGGCUAACCUUUACUUAAAGGCCAGAUCACCUAGGUAAAAAAUGAGAUAUCCUCUUGAAAGCAACAAGGACAAAGUUGUUCAGCACGCGUAAACUUGAGUGUCGUGAUUGGUUUGUCUGGUCUGGUCAGGAUACACAUGCGCUC
rnacentral:lncRNA from 1 species